UGCAAGUCGAGCGCACCCUUCGGGGUGAGCGGCGGACGGGUUAGUAACGCGUGGGAAUAUGCCCUUCUCUAAGGAAUAGCCUCGGGAAACUGAGGGUAAUACCUUAUACGCCCUCCGGGGGAAAGAUUUAUCGGAGAAGGAUUAGCCCGCGUAAGAUUAGAUAGUUGGUGGGGUAAUGGCCUACCAAGUCUACGAUCUUUAGCUGGUUUUAGAGGAUGAUCAGCAACACUGGGACUGAGACACGGCCCAG
rnacentral:rRNA from 1 species